CGGGCCCGCACAAGCAGCGGAGCGUGUGGUUUAAUUCGAUGCUACACGAAGAACCUUACCAGGGUUUGACAUGCAAGUGGUAGGAACCGAAAGGCGACCGACCCUUCGGGGAGCUUGCACAGGUGCUGCAUGGCUGUCGUCAGCUCGUGUCGUGAGAUGUUCGGUUAAGUCCGCUAACGAGCGCAACCCUCGCUGUGUGUUACAAGUGUCACACGGUACUGCCGGUCUUAAGCCGGAGGAAGGUGGGGAUGACGUCAAGUCAGCAUGGCCUUUAUGUCCUGGGCUACACACACGCUACAAUGGCCAACACAAUAGGUUGCUAAGCCGCGAGGUGGAGCCAAUCCUCAAAGUUGGUCUCAGUUCAGAUUGCAGGCUGCAACCCGCCUGCAUGAAGAUGGAGUUGCUAGUAACCGCAGGUCAGCUAUACUGCGGUGAAUACGUUCCCGGGGCUU
rnacentral:rRNA from 1 species